UACGUAGGGGGCAAGCGUUGUCCGGAUUUAUUGGGCGUAAAGAGCGUGUAGGCGGCCAUGCAGGUCCGUUGUGAAAACUCGAGGCUCAACCUCGAGCUGUCGGCGGAAACCAUCUGGCUAGAGUCCGGAAGAGGAGAGUGGAAUUCCUGGUGUAGCGGUGAAAUGCGCAGAUAUCAGGAAGAACACCUAUGGCGAAGGCAGCUCUCUGGGACGGUACUGACGCUGAGACGCGAAAGCGUGGGGAGCGAACAGG
rnacentral:rRNA from 1 species